GUAGGUGGCAAGCGUUGUCCGGAAUUAUUGGGCGUAAAGCGCGCGCAGGCGGUUCUUUAAGUCUGAUGCGAAAGCCCACGGCUCAACCGUGGAGGGUCAUUGGAAACUGGAGAACUUGAGUACAGAAGAGGAAAGCGGAAUUCCACGUGUAGCGGUGAAAUGCGUAGAGAUGUGGAGGAACACCAGUGGCGAAGGCGGCUUUCUGGUCUGUAACUGACGCUGAGGCGCGAAAGCGUGGGGAGCAAACAGGGAUUAGAUACCCUGGUAGUCCACGCCGUAAACGAUGAGUGCUAAGUGUUAGGGGGUUUCCGCCCCCUUGGUGCUGCAGCUAACGCAUUAAGCACUCCGCCUGGGGAGUACGGCCGCAAGGCUG
rnacentral:rRNA from 1 species